AGGGAUAUAGCUCAAGUGGUAAAGUGCUUGCCUAACAUGCAUGAGGCCCUGGGUUUGAUCCCCAGUACCUCAA
rfam:Ictidomys tridecemlineatus contig062888, whole genome shotgun sequence.